CAGUCGCCGCGGGAAUACAGAGGGUGCGAGCGUUAAUCGGAUUUACUGGGCGUAAAGCGUGCGUAGGCGGCUUCUUAAGUCGGAUGUGAAAUCCCUGAGCUUAACUUAGGAAUUGCAUUCGAUACUGGGAAGCUAGAGUAUGGGAGAGGAUGGUAGAAUUCCAGGUGUAGCGGUGAAAUGCGUAGAGAUCUGGAGGAAUACCGAUGGCGAAGGCAGCCAUCUGGCCUAAUACUGACGCUGAGGUACGAAAGCAUGGGGAGCAAAUAGGAUUAGAUACCCCCGUAGUCCCUGUCUCUUAUAC
rnacentral:rRNA from 1 species